rnacentral:lncRNA from 1 species
UUUGGGACUUUGGGACUACUGGGGUUCCCUCAUCGUUUUGCUAUUACUGGAUCUAGGUAGAUGACAGGAUUAAGGCUCAGAUAAAUCUUUAUCGGCUGUAAUGAGAUUUCAAAAUAAAAAAUGAAAAAGGAUUUUCAGACGAAUAGUCCAGAGCCCUUUGGUACAAUGUACAAACUAUGUCAAAAUCAGUUCCUAAGAUGUCGAGGUUAUUUUAAAAGCCUUCAGAGCCUGUGUGCAUGAAACACUUUCCCGGUGGCCCCGGCUGCGGCGGAGCCUCCCCUUAACCCGAGUGUUUCCAGCGCCGCGCCACGGCGGGGCCCGGGACCCCGGGACAGGAGCGGUGGGGCCGGGCGCGGGGGGACCGCGGCCACCACGAGCCCCGUCACCUUACCGCGGCCACCGAGGGCUGCCCGCGGUCGCCACCAACUUCUCAGCGGCGGCAGCAGCAGCAGCGCAAGUUGGCAGCCGCCGGCUGCUCGCCUCGGGCAAGAGCGGGAGGGCGGCCCAAGCUCCUCUGCUGGCGAAGCCAAAAAAAAAAAAAAAAAAAAAAAAAAAGGAAAGAAAGAAAAGGGAAGGAAGGCAGAGGAACGACAGAACGGCAGACAGACGGCGGCCGGCUCCAGCUCAUACCCAGUCCCUGUUCCAGAAGGACCGUGCCGUGGGGCUGAAGGCAUACAUGAACCAUGAACUUUAAGGUACUUUGCAUUUUGGAGAACACAAUGGGGCAAGAUCAGCCAACAGACUGAUCUUGAGGUAACCCUCUUCCAUGCUGACCAUUUGACCAUGCAAAUCAGCUGACAGCUAAUACAAACUUAAGCAAUGUGGUUAUUUCCAGGUAGCUUUCUUGGCUGCUGUGAAACUCAAUGUGUAGAUGCUGGAAUAUCUGUUGUUGUAGACAUUUGAUGCCAAUUGGGUGGGAAAGUAUUAUUUAUCUCAAAAAUGUGAAAGCAAUUUUUAUGCUACAGUGUUGUCGUGACUGGCUAUUGACAGCUUCUGAGUUAUCGCUUCUGAUAGCUGAAUGCCAUUUAAUAGACACAGCUUGUUUCCUUAACUAGCAUCUAGGCAGUAAUUACUACCUUUGAAGUGAAUGUAGCAGCACAGCAAGUGAGGAGAGUUUGCCUCUUUUAAUGGAGGAUGGAGAAUUCAUUCUAAGACCCUGUUAUUAAGGACUGAGUGUAGAAAGCUUAUUUUUGUACCAGAAGUGCCCUAAAUGGAAAUGCUGAAGCCCAGAAGUCUACCUGUAAGGCACACACUCCUGCAUGUGGAUGUGUUGCUAUAUAUUUGAAAGGUGUUCAAGUUUUCUUUCCCUCUUGGCCAUAAUUCAGCUUUCCCUUGGCAUUCUGCUGCAGUCAGUUGAAA